rnacentral:rRNA from 1 species
UAAACAACCUGCCUUCAGGAUAGGGACAACAGACGGAAACGACUGCUAAUACCGAAUAAGUUCCAAGAGCCGCAUGGCCCAUGGAAGAAAAGGUGGCCUCUACCUGUAAGCUAUCGCCUGAAGAGGGGUUUGCGUCUGAUUAGCUGGUUGGAGGGGUAACGGCCCACCAAGGCGACGAUCAGUAGCCGGUCUGAGAGGAUGAACGGCCACACUGGAACUGAGACACGGUCCAG